CCUAGGAGCCAGACCUGCUGCUGGCUGCUUCUGGGGCGCAGCGUGGUCUGUGGUGCUAGGACAGGCAGGCAGCCUGCCUUAGCACCCCCCCACCCCUGCUGUGUCACUGACUGGGAGCCUCCUGAGGGUACCACUGAACACCCUGUACUCCCCCAGGAACAAGGAAUGUGACUGUCCCUGGCUCGUGCAUGGGGUGUGCAAGAAGAAGCUUCCCACACUGAUCUGCAUCGUCAUUUGUUUUAGACCCCAAUCCUGGAAGCAGACUGGAUUGGUGCCUCAGGAGCUCUUACUUUGGAAUGCCGCUUUCCCCUCCAACUCUACAUUUCCUCCAUCAAUUUAAUUUCUGUCCUUCAGCAGGAGUUGAUCAUUUCUUAAUGGAACUGCUGAUGGCUCCUAAAUGCUGGGCUCUUUGGACACUCCUAGAAAUGGGACUUUUGUCUGGUACUCUUUAGCAGUGUUAAAUUCCUUGCAUUUAUUUAUUUAUGUCCUUUAAAUGACUUUGGAUAGGAGUUCCAAAAUGUCAGUUAUGCUUAAAUGGUGGAUUUAGACAUCUAAAGAGCAGAUCGACAUCUCUGUACCUUUAAGAAUCUGGGCCAAAUGCCUUCUAUCUCUGGUCAAAGAAGUUUCAUGACUUUUAGGAAAAAAAAAAAAUUCUGGUUUCUAACCCUUAAUCACAACAUAUCAUACCUUAAAUCUGUUAUUUUCCCAGAACUAGAUAUUGCCUGUCCUGGCCCUUAAGCCUGGGUGUACCUUUGUGGAAGAAAUUUCACUGCUGAUACAAAGAAGGAAAAAGUUGUUCUGGAAGUUAUCCUUUUAAAAAUAAACACAGCUGUUUGAAGUUGAUCAGAAGUUUGGGAUAUUAGAUGUAGCCCCUGUGGAGGUAGAUUAAUGAGCAGAGUGCAGGAGAAGUGUUCAAAGGUGCAUGAUAAAUGCUAUUUAUUAAAUUGUUGUACAAAUCAUCAUGUGGAUAUCACCACUGUAUAUAAUGUAUAUACACACAGAAUCCUCUCAAACAACCGCUCCACCAUGAAUUAACUACAUAGACAUACCACAACAUGGAGAGCAUGCAAUGUAAGUUAAUUUUGCUGUAGCAACCUUGGGCUAGGUCCUCAGCUCCAUUGACUCCAGUGAAGCCAUCCUCAUUCACACCAGCUGAUGUCAUUCAUUAACUUUUGAUCUCCUGGGGAUUUCGUUUUUGUUUUGUUAUUUUAUUUUAAUUGCACAACUAUAGCAUUGCAUGAAAAUAGCUGAUUUACAAUUAAAUUUUAUUUCUUAAUUUUAUUAAGCUUUUUUGCUUAAUGGAUUAUCACAUAGCCUUGGUUGUCACUAAGGCCCAUUAACUACAAUGGAAUCAGUCAUGUGCAGAUCAUUAAGAAUAUAUAUCAACUUUUUGCAGGAAUGGCCCUAAAUUAUAUUCUCAUCAAAUUAUACCUGGGAUUUUCAUGGGGGAAGAGGGGAAGCAGGGAGGGAGGGCAGAAAGAGUAUAAGUUUGAAGAAAAAGGGGGUUUCACGCUGGUAAACCUACAGGAGCAAUACCAAUGGACCCUAUCAGUUUUAGUUUCAAGAUUAUUCAGUGUCUACUUUAAAAAGGGGUACAAAACAAUAAUACAGUACAUUGUAUUAUUUAAUGUAAUGUAUUAACAAUAAUUUAGAAAUUCCUCUAGGGAUUAACCAGAUCAAAAGAGAUUUAAACACAUGUGUUCUACAUUAGAGACUUCCUGGAUAGAUAACCUUCUUUAGGGGUAUAUAUAUUUUCUUUUUUUGGCUAUUAUGCUUUUCUUGCUGAAAGAGAAGGAUACAUUACCUAAUUUGAUGACAGUUUAAAAAUCUGAGAAUAAUAAAAAGGAAAAAUUAUUAUUCUAAUAAUAUACAGGUAACUUUGUUUUAUUUUUCCUAUAGAAUUGCAAGGGAAGGCUCAAGUUACAAAAUUCAGAUCUGGGUCCAGAUUUCAAAUACCCCAGAGUUCAAGGGUGUUUGGAGCCAGGGUUUUGGUUCAGGUCAGGAUAGAGAUAAGGGACAGCCCUGAAAUUUGCUGCUGCAUCUGUUUUUUUUAA